UACGAAGGGGGCUAGCGUUGUUCGGAAUUACUGGGCGUAAAGCGUGCGCAGGCGGCUUUGCAAGACAGAUGUGAAAUCCCCGGGCUUAACCUGGGAACUGCAUUUGUGACUGCAUGGCUGGAGUGCGGCAGAGGGGGAUGGAAUUCCGCGUGUAGCAGUGAAAUGCGUAGAUAUGCGGAGGAACACCGAUGGCGAAGGCAAUCCCCUGGGCCUGCACUGACGCUCAUGCACGAAAGCGUGGGGAGCGAACGGG
rnacentral:rRNA from 1 species